rnacentral:rRNA from 1 species
CCUACGGGUGGCAGCAGUGAGGAAUAUUGGUCAAUGGGCGGAAGCCUGAACCAGCCAAGUAGCGUGCAGGAUGACGGCCCUACGGGUUGUAAACUGCUUUUAUACGGGAAUAACGCGCCUUAUGUGUAGGGCUUUGCAUGUACCGUAUGAAUAAGGACCGGCUAAUUCCGUGCCAGCAGCCGUGGUAAUACGGAAGAUCCGGGCGUUAUCCGGGUUUAUUGGGUUUAAAGGGAGCGUAGGCCGGAUGUCAAGCUUGCUGUGAAAGGUUGGGGAUCAACCCGGGCCUUGCAGUUGAAACUGGCGUGCUUGAGUCCGCGAGAGGCAGGCGGAAUGCGUGGUGUAGCGGUGAAAUGCUGAGAUAUGACGAAGAACCCCGAUUGCGAAGGCAGCAUGCUGGAGCGUAACUGACGCUGAUGCUCGAAAGCGUGGGUAUCGAACAGGAUUAGAGACCCCAGUAGUC